CUUACAAGGAGCAAAACUGCCAAAGAAUCCAGUCGCAGAUGGGACUGGAGGACCCUGUCCUCCAGGGCAUUUCUGUCCGAGUGGCACAACUUUUCCACUGGGAUGUCCUGCAGGAACCUACAAUGCUCUUGAAGGUCAGAGUACCUGCAGUCCAUGUGUUGAAGGUUACUUCUGUCCUUCAAAUACUUCAUCUUAUAAAAAUAAUAUCUGCCCACCUGGCCAUUACUGCCCUCCCGGAACAGAAUCUAAAGACAAAUUUCCCUGCCCCAGAGGGACUUAUAACCAACAAUCAGG